CGACCUGAGAACGAUGAAACAUCACCGGGGGCAGGGGCGAUCUCGCCCCGUGCGGUUCAGAGGAAGACGACGAAGUGCGUCCUCCUUUGUGCCAAAACUCAAACCCCGGCGCUGAAUGCGUCAAGGAAUUUAAAUUUUGCUCUGAGCACACCUGCAUGGCACCGGAGACGGUUUUCGUGCGUGUUGUGUUUUGACACAUGAUAUAGAAUGACUCUCGGCAACGGAUAUCUAGGCUCUUGCAUCGAUGAAGAACGUAGCGAAAUGCGAUACUUGGUGUGAAUUGCAGAAUCCCGUGAACCAUCGAGUUUUUGAACGCAAGUUGCGCCCCAAGCCUUCUGGCCGAGGGCACGUCUGCCUGGGUGUCACAAAUCGUCGUCCCCCCAUCCUCUCGAGGGUAUGGGACGGAAGCUGAUCUCCCGUGUGUUACCGCACGCGGUUGGCCAAAAUCCGAGCUAAGAACGUCAGGAGCGUCUUGACAUGCGGUGGUGAAUUUAAUUCUCGUCAUAUAGUCAGACGUUCCGGUCCAAAAGCUCUUGAUGACCCAAAGUCCUCAACGCGACCCCAGGUCAGGCGGGAUCACCCGCUGAG
rnacentral:rRNA from 1 species